rnacentral:lncRNA from 1 species
AUGGCCAAGUUUCCGAGAACAGUUUCCACACUUGUCUCGGCCGGGCCAGGGAAGGUUGCUCAACCGGGAGGAGAGGGGGGCAGACCGAUGGCUCCUGGCACCCAGGCCACUGCAGGAAACCUGGGCGGGCACCAGGGGGCAGGGGAAAUGGGCACCAGGCAUCUCGGCUUCUCCGAGGGCUCCAGCAUCAUGAGGGCAAACGCCCUGGGCCAGAACCUGGACCUGCCCGGCGGGGUCAAGCAUCCUGAGGCUGAAGGGCACUUGCAGGGAGUGAAGGGGUCACCAUGCCAGCUCUGCAAACGAUGUUCAGAAAACAAGAUGCUGGGACUCAGGGACCCUACAAGGUCCGUGGGCUGGAAUUUGCUGCUCGAAUUCCGUGGGAGACGGCGAGAGACGGCCGAUCCGCACCCCCCCACCACCCAUGACACGUGUUAACACGGGGCGGAGGGGUGCCGGGGGUUUGCGACUCCUAAAAACGUGCACGUUCACAUAAAUGCACUCUUUCCACACCAACCCCGCAGUGGAAGGGCCCCCUGCUGUGUCCCCAGCCUCCACCCCAUUGGAGUCCUUCACUCUGCAGGGGCUACAGGGUGCUAGCUAAGCUGUUGUAGCAGACCCAGACACAGGAACGGCAUGAACUGCUUCUCAUUAAUAAUAUUCUCAUUUUCCUGAUUAAUGGGUCACCGUUGAUAAACGCAGGCGACGACAAAAUGGCUGAAUGAAAAUGCCACCCGCUGAGCAAAAAUAAUCAGACAAAUAAGGGACGGGACACAGCUAAGUGAGCAGGAGGCGUGGCCUCUCCUCCCGACAGCGUCCAAAACGCUCACAACAUCACCUGCGUUGGGACAACGGAGGAGGAAGCCAGAGACAAGAGUCCCAGACCCUUCCGCGGAGGUCCGAGCCUCCGGCAAGUCACCACAAGACAGCUUCAGUCAUUCCGAACAAGGCCACUCCUGCCUGCUCCGGGCUCCAUCUGCACCUUGUCCUUCCCCCGCUGGGAGGAACAUUCCAGGCCAAGUGGUGCCACCAUCAGCUCAGAUCUGAGUCCUCCUCCAGCCGCCAGCCUCUGUGAUUUCUGGCCAGAACUGGGGGCAGGGCAGUUGCUAAGGGCACAGGAGACCUCAGGGAGCAGACGGGAAGGGAGUCGAGGAGAACCUGAAACGGCCUCGGACCUAGAAGGGCCUCUGCCACGAUGCCUGGCCAGAGCGUUCACUGGACGCGUCCCCCAAGCUGGACACGGGGCCAGGAGCCCGGUGCUGGGUGCAGACAGUGAACCACACUCUGGCGGUGGGGGGAGCCACGGGGGAGGGGGCCCAUCCAGUGGAACUUCUGGAAAUGAUGGGGAAUGUUCUAGAUCUACAGGGUCCAGCAUGGCAGCCCCGGGCCACACGCGGCUCGAGCAGCUGAAGGGUGGCCAGGGUGAUUCAGAAGCUGGAUUGUCCUUUGCAGUUCACGUAGUUAACGUGUCUCUGUGGCCACCGCACCGCCCCCCCCAACCCCGGGCCAGAAAUGAUGCUCUGGCUCUAGGAACAGGGCAGCCUGGAACCUUUCCUGGCGUGUGACCUCGAGCAACCAUUUCACCUCUGAGUUUCUCUGCUGGAGACUUGUGGGGGUCUCGUCAGCUGAUCCUUGGGGUCCACACACUGCAUCCUGACUUAAUCUGCAAACUGCCUGCUCUGUUCACAUUUACCACCAUCCCCCAGACCCUCGUGGUCUUUCCGCCACCUCCUACACACCGCCUCCAGGUCCUGCAAGCCGCCCUGAUUGCCCAGCCCCGGCCCCUGCAGCCUCCACGUGACUCUGGUCACACCUGCCGCUUCCUGCCCGCACCUCGUCUGCUGCCCCAUCCCGAGGCCCCUCAACCCCCUACCCAGUCCUAGCUGCAGACCCAUCUGGAAUGGGAGUCUCUCUUGGCCUCCAGGAGUAGGGGGCGGCCUGCAGCUUGGGCUUGGCUUAUUUAUCCGGCCGUUUCUGUUUACUAGCAAUUAUGUUGCAACCUCAUCCCAAGAGCGAAGCAGCAGCUUCCAGGCAGCUGACAGCGGAGGCGGAGGCAGAGAUCUGGACGGGGCAGAGUUGGGAGGAAUCUUGCCCUCCCCCAGCAGCGGGGCAGCCUCGUGCGGCUGCGGGCCCUCCCACUCUGCGUUCCUUCUCCCGACCUAAGGACCGCAGCCAUCCCCCGGCCUGAGCCCUGGCCCCGAGCUCCCUGCACUGACUGCACCCAGCAGGUCCUCAGCCUUGUGGGUUCCCCAUCCACUCCAAAGGCAGGUGAUAAACUCUGGCCAAGGAUGUGUUUUGUUUCAUGUUUUGUUGUUGUGUUCAACCCAUGAGAAAUAAUGCCUCAAAUGGUUUUUAUCCCUGCCUCAUUUAUUAAACUCAAUCUGAGCUUACGGUGAACACGCUAGUAAAGUAAUGCUCAAAAUUCUCCAAGCCAGGCUUCAGCA